GAUGAACGCUAGCGAUAGGCUUAACACAUGCAAGUCGAGGGGCAGCAUGGUCUUAGCUUGCUAAGACUGAUGGCGACCGGCGCACGGGUGCGUAACGCGUAUGCAACUUGCCUCACAGAGGGGGAUAACCCGUCGAAAGACGGACUAAUACCGCGUACACUCCAUCUUGGGCAUCCAAGGUAGAGGAAAUGAAAUUCGCUGUGAGAUAGGCAUGCGUCCCAUUAGCUAGUUGGUGAGGUAACGGCUCACCAAGGCGACGAUGGGUAGGGGAACUGAGAGGUUGAGCCCCCAAGCUGGUACUGAGACACGGACCAGACUACUACGGGAGGCAGAAGUGAGGAAUAUUGGUCAAUGGGCGAGAGCCUGAACCAGCCAAGUCGCGUGAGGGAUGACUGUCUUAUGGAUUGUAAACUUCUUUUAGACGGGAAUAACAAGAGUCACGUGUGACUCCCUGCAUGUACCGUAUGAAUAAGCAUCGGCUAACUCCGUG
rnacentral:rRNA from 1 species